rnacentral:lncRNA from 1 species
UAUGUUGUUAAGAGAGCCUUUUCAGGCGGAGCUUUAAUGCUUACAACAAUGGAUGGGGAGGAUUUCACUCGUCCUGUGAAUUCAGAUGCAGUUAAGAGAUACUUUGCCUAAAAAAAAAAAAAAAAAGUAUAUGCAAAUGAAAAAAAACAAAUAUAAAAAACAGAAUUGCUCGCUAAGUUGAAAACCCGAAAGGGCGGCUUAGGCAAAAAUGAGCGUCUCGGUGGAGAAC